CUAGGUUCUUCCUUCCUUCAACGUAUAGUUGACAUUGUGCUCAAUUUCAUCUUCUCCUGCAGCACCAUCUGGAAUCACUAGUUUCUCAACACUAUAUAAUAUUGUUGCUGAUUGGAGGUCAAGUGAAUCAGGCCCUAAGUGAAGUCGAAAAAGUUCUGUAACAAUUCAAGAGUGCCCUUUCCAUUUAGGUAUCGACCUACCAAAUAAUUUUGUUCCCCCCCUUUUUCCAUGGUUGCCAAGAAGUGAAUUCAUAUUGGAAAAUAUAAUCCCAAAGGUACUUUAUUUCAUUUUGUCUUAACUUAGAUAACUUGAGAAUAACAGAAAAAGGAAUAUGAAGAUAAGUGCUAGAGGACUCAACUAAUGAUUACAACUAUGGUAUUUGUUGUGGCAGUUAUGUCUGGUGAUAAUCUUUUUGGGAAAAUAUUAUAUCUGAAUGUGUUAGUACUAGUUGUUCCAAGGGACAUUAUGGUACUGUUGCCUUUGCAUAGAUUUUUGUGAUAAGGUAGAUAGUUUUUGUUGACAUUACUUUCCUUUUUCUUCUGUCUUGACAAAUAUAUCUUGUGCAGAAAUCUCCUUUGGGUGUAUCCGAGGCUAAAGCUCCCUCUUCGCUUAGAAGUUUUCCUUUAGUAGAAUGGGCUUGAUAUUUUAAUUAUUUUCUACUAUCUCCCAUGGAAUCUUUACUUUCAGGAGCACCUUCCAAAUAUUAUAUAAAAGAUUUAAUUAUUCUUGCAGUAUGUUAAUUUUUUCAGCUGGUCCUCUUGUUGCCUUUACAAAACACUGAUGUGUUGGUCCUUUGCAGAAUAAGGGCUAGUCUUUUAGAGUGUUUUUAUUCUAAUGAUUCUGUCAUGCUCUCUACAUGUUUUGAGGAGACUUUGAAGAAGGAUCCAACAUGCUGCCACUCAUUGGCAAGGCUUGUCAGCAUGCAACAAAAUGGUAUAUUAUCAAUUAUCUUGCAUAGAUAGACCAGUACCCACUUCAUUUGACAGUCGUUUCAAUGCAGUGAUUCUAUCACCUAGUUGUGACACAGCCACCACCAAGUCUGGAAUACCUUGUGGAGAUGAUUGCUUUGCAUUUGGAAGCUACCAAUCUAGAGUCCAAUACAUGGAGGGUGUUUGCUUCAUGCUUCCUCAAACUAUAUCAGCAUGAAGAGGAUCGAUUGUCAGUAUGUCUCAAUAGGAAUGAAGGUGAACAAAUUCCAAAGCUCUCUGUUAACUACAAUAAGAUGCCAAAAUUUUUACUGAGGGAAAAUCAAGAAAAGUUUGGAGGUUAUGCUGCAAAUGCUGGUUAAAACGUCACUUUGCCAUGAAGAUGCUUGCAUCAGAAAUGGCUUCAGGGUUCUCGGAGCUUUUAACUUACAAAGUAGCUUGCGCAUCCCAUUUGUAUGGUCAAGAGUUCAACUACGUUGGAAAGGUUUAUUGUCAUUUUGAGGAACAAAAUGAUAGGGACAUACUAAAAUUCCUAAAAAGGCACAUUGAGAAUUCUAUCAGAUUAAAUGUGAAUAUUCAAGAGAAAUUAAAUCAGAUAUAGUGUUCAUGCAA
rnacentral:sRNA from 10 species